GUGUUGAUAUCAUUUGUGCCAAGCAGAAUGACUAGAAACUCGUGAAACAAACCUUGAGCCAUCAAUAAUCCAUAGGACAUAAGAAUAUUUCUGCCAUAUUGCCAGGGACUGAGCAGCCCCAGCCAUAUAGAAGGCUGGGAAGCAAUGGAUAGGAGUACUGCAAGCCUUAAUACCUUAUCUCAUGCUGAUCUUGAAACUUGACAGAAACUGGAACUAAAUAAGAAGAUACAUUUUUCAAAUAGUGAGGUUUUGAAGGCAGGCCUCUAACAUGUAAAAAUGUUCCAAUGAAUGAGGAAUUUAAUGGUUUAAAGCUACUAAGAAAUUUCUUUCUAGCCAUUUGUGGCUCAUUGGAAUAAUAAAACAGAGACUCCACUAGCUAUACACACAGAAGGAUAUCCAUGGUUAGGUAUUCUAGGGAUUCAUUAAGCAAAAACAUUGAAAACUGAGAUAGAAAAUGUGAGUUCUUAAAUUGUCUAGUUAUAUGCUCAAAAAUAGCAAUCUGCAAAAGUACAGAAAAGCAGAUCUUCUAAGUUUUUUUUUAAUAAUCAUCCCCAUUAAGGGUUCAUUGUAACUUUAUUUUUUAUUGUAUAUUUUAUUUUUUACACUUCAAAUUUUUUACUCCAUUUCCCAGUUUCCCCUCCAAAAACUCCCUAUCAUAACCUCCCUUCCUGCUACCACCCCCCCCACUUCCAUCUCACCACCCUGGCAUUCCCCUACACAUAGAACCUUCACAGCACCAAGCUGUUGGAGCAAAUCUUCCCUGAGGAAGCUAAACUGGCAUGGUUAGCAAGUCAAAAACCAUAUUAGAUGUUAAAAAUACACUCAUCAAACUAAAGGAAAUAAAUUCGUGGUAACUAUAGAGAUAAUAUGUGUAAGAGUUACUUAUCUUGUUGUGAUUAAAUGCCAAACAAGGGCAGUUUAUGGAGGAAAGAUGUUAUUUUGCUCACAGUUCAAGGGUGUAGUCAUUAUGAUGGUGAGGUCCUGGCAGCAGGAACCUGAGGCAUCUGGUCACAUUGUAUCUGCAUCAAUGAAGUCUGCCCAUUGCUAUUUCUUCUUUUUAUACACUGUCUGAUACCCAAGGCAUAUAUGGUGCUGCCUGCAUGUAGGGUGUAUGUCCUCAUGCUAUUAAUAUAAUUUAGAAAACUCAUCACAGACAAGCCCAAAGGUUUUUUUCCAUGGUGAUGCUAAAUCCUGUCAAUUUAAGAAUGACAUAGAAGGUUAUUUCAAUAGAUAUAACUUAAUUUUUAUUUUGGAUGUAUAAGUGUCCUUCCUGAAUGUAUGUCCAUGCUCUACAUACAUGGCUGAUGCCUGUAGUUACCUGAAGAGGAUAUCAGAUACCUAAAACUGGAGUUACAGUUGCCUGCCAUGAGGAUUUAGGUCUUCAGCAAGAGAAACAAAUGCUUAUAACUCCAAAGCUAUCUCUUCAGACCCUAAAUACAACUUUUAAUAUACACUAAGAAUUUUGGAAUUGAAAGUGUAAUAGCUAAG
rnacentral:lncRNA from 1 species